GAUGAUAGUGGUGAUGAGGUCCACCUUGGUUUAUGCCAAAACCGCUACAGCUAAUGACUUCUAAAUAAAA
rnacentral:ncRNA from 2 species